GAUGAACGCUGGCGGCGUGCCUAAUACAUGCAAAUCGAGCGAACAGACGAGGAGCUUGCUCCUCUGACGUUAGCGGCUGACGGGUGAGUAACACGUGGAUAACCUACCUAUAAUACUGGGAUAACUUCGGGAAACCGGAGCUAAUACCGGAUAACAUUUUGAACCUCAUGGUUCAACAGUGAAAGACGGUCUUUCUGUCACUUAUAGAUGGAUCCGCGCCGCAUUAGCUAGUUGGUAAGUUAACGGCUUACCAAGGCAACGAUUCGUAGCCGACCUGAGAGGGUGAGCGGACACACGGGAACGGAGACACGGUACAGACAACUAAGGGAGGGAGCAGUAGGGAAUAUUCCGAAAUGGGCGAAAGCAUGACGGAGCAAAGCCGAGUGAGUGAAGAAGGUCUUCGGAUCGUAAAACUCUGUUAUUAGGGAAGAAAAAAUGUGUAAGUAAAAAUGAACGUCGUGACGGUACCUAAUCAGAAAGCAACGGCUAACUACGUG
rnacentral:rRNA from 1 species